rnacentral:ncRNA from 1 species
CCCGUGAGGCGGACGGUCUCCCCGUGAGGCGAACGGCCCAAGCAUCGCGCUCCACCCUCGUUUGGGAGCGCUUGUCAUG